AUCCAGCUGACGAGUCCCAAAAAGGGAGGAAACGCGCGUCCUGGAU
rnacentral:hammerhead_ribozyme from 1 species